rnacentral:rRNA from 1 species
UAUGCUUCUCCUAAAGACUAAGCCAUGCAUGCCUUCGAAUAAGAGGAAGCAAUUCUCUCUGAAUCUGCGAACGGCUCCGCAAACCAGUUGUAAACUAUAGCAAGCAAGCACGUAGCCCUGGCCUUCACGGGUUGGGACUGCGGGCGAUAUGGAUAACCCUGGUAAUUCUGAGGCUAAUACAAGAACGUAACCCCUGGUUAACCGGCUUCGGCUGGGAGGCUGGGAAACGUGCGAAUGCGGCGCAAAGAUGAACCGGGAAUGGACGCACGUUUAGACCACGCACAAAAGGAUCAGGUGGCCCGACCUCACGGAAGGAAAGCCUGGCCCCAGUGGCUCUUGCGGUGUGCUUCUGACCUAUCAACUAGACGGCAGCGUAACGGACAUGCUAUGGUUACAACGGGUACAGAGGAUAAGGGUUCGAUCCUGGAGAGUGGGCCUGAGAGAUUGCUCAUACUUCUAAGGAAGGCAGCAGGCGCGCAACGUUCCCCUUGGGCAAUGCCCGAGGGCGUUAGGGGACAUAUGAAUGCCUGCCUUACAGGUGGGCAAUUCAAAUGGGUCUGUUGUAAACAGCCUCUCGAGUAACAAUUAGAGGA